CGUUGUAUUAGGUGCUUUCCAGCCAACGUUAGGAGCUCCUCGGUACAGCUCCGAAGCGCACUUGUAGUGUUCCAGUAAACAGGGCGUCGAGCCCUCGCGUUACCUUCUCCUGAAGCACCCCCGCAUUUGCGGGGCUUCGAGCCUUGACAGGUGUGGGAGAGAAAGAAAACUAUUUUGAAUUACUUGUCAGUUGACGGUUACCGGCAUUCGUUUGUAGUACGUUUCAACAAUGGAAUGGAGGUAACAAGAUGUAUUGUGUCCAAAUCUCUUAUAGGGGUGAAUUAUUCAACCUUGAAUUGGACGAGGAAGCUCAUAAAAGAGCAGAGAUUGGUAUGUAUAUUAUUCCUUAAUGUUGUUAAGUGAUAUUCACUAUAUUGAUAAUUCUAAUUUUAUUUUUUAAGAUCCCAAAUUUCUGGAACAAUUCGUACAAAAUUAUAUAUCAAAUAAUAAUGAUGCGAAAUCUAACUAUCAGACAAAAGCAGAGAAUGAAUUCGUCCAAAAUUAUUUGUGUAAUGAUGAUGGGAGGGAUGAUGCAAAUCACAGAGAUGAAAGAACUAACUAUCAGCCAAGAGCAGAGAAUGAAUUCGUCCAAAACUAUAGAUCUAAUGAUGAUCGGAGAGAUGAUGCAAAUAUUGUUAAUCAGCCAAGAGCGACUGAACCGAAGAUAAGUUUUCGAACUUACAGGUAAAAUAAGAUUUAAUUCUUUAUUUUCCAGGACAACACUUGGACUUAUAAUAUGGUUCUCUGUAUCAUAAAAUCGAUGGAGAGCCAUCAGGAUGAUUUAAAUCAUCCAAAAAAAGGAAAGAUGUCUUUGAAAACAUAACAAAUGACAUGCUCAGCCAGGGAUUUUCUGUGAAUAGCACAAUGAUUCAAAAUAAAUGGAAAUCCCUGGUUCGGAGCUAUAAGAUAGCUAAAGAUAAUAAAGGUCGAACUGGAAGGGCCCCUAGUCGAUUCCAAUUUUAUCAAGAGAUGGAUUCGUUUCUAGGGAAAAAAAGCUAGCAAUAAAUGUACUUUUUCCCUAGAAAGUACAGAAUUCAUUGAUGAAGACCGUUCUAAUACUGCCACUUCAGCCGAAGUAAUAACUCCAGGACCUUCGACUAGUGGUCCUUCCACAUCGGCAAUCUCCAGUGGUCCUUCGGUGGAAUUUACAAGCAGCACUCCUUUUCAUGCUGACCCCAGUACUCCACUCAAUAGAAAAAGAUGCCUAAAAACAAUCAGAGAAGAAAACAAAAUGAAGAGGCAUAGGGAAAAUAUUGAGAUGGAGAGGGAGAAAUUGGAGGUUGAAAAACAAAGAUUGCAAUUGGAUCAGCAGAGGUUGGAAGUAGAAAAACAAAAAAUUGAGCUAGAGGAAAAAAGAUUCAAUUGUUGCAGGAGAUGGCAAGUAAAAAUAAUAACAAUGUUCAAAUAUAAAUUAAUGAAUGAUAUAUUUUUCAUAUAAUUAUUUUAAGAAUUUAUUA